AGCUAUUCCUUACAUAUUUCCUUUUGCAACCUUAGAGUUUGCUGAGAAUGAGCAUUAGUCAUUCAAAAUCAUUGGCGCUCGACAGCAAUACUAGUACAGUAAAUCUUUUGGAAGAAAAGAUGACAACAACCCAGAUGAAAUAUAUUUUAAACUUGUUAUUGCAAACUCAACAUCAGGUAGUAUGAGUCACAUAUCUUUUAUAAGGUACAUAAUAUAUAUGCAUUUGUGACUGCACUGCAUUUAGCAUACAGUAUAAAAGCAUCCCCCAACCCGAAAGAAUGUUUUCCAAAUUCACCAGCAGA